rnacentral:rRNA from 1 species
UACGUAGGGGGCGAGCGUUGUCCGGAAUCACUGGGUGUAAAGGGUGCUCAGGCGGAUCGGUAAGUCAGAGGUGAAAUUUCACAGCUUAACUGUGAAUGUGCUUUUGAUACUGUCGGUCUAGAGUUCAGAAGAGGGCAAUGGAAUUCUUGGUGUAGCGGUGAAAUGCGUAGAUAUCAAGAAGAACACCAGUUGCGAAGGCGGUUGCCUGGUCUGUAACUGACGCUCAAGCACGAAAGCGUGGGGAUCAAACAGG